rnacentral:snoRNA from 1 species
GAUGGAAGCUGCAGGCACCUACCAUGUGGACAAAUGAGAAAAUAACCUUGUCUACAGAAGGCAGCAAUCCUACAUAAAUAUGGAGGUCCCUUUCUGAAUUAGGACAGCUGGCUAAAUAUGAUCAUGCCCCUCCAUAUAAC